GACGCUGGCGGCGCGCCUAACACAUGCAAGUCGAACGAGCGAGAGGGAGCUUGCUUUCUCGAGCGAGUGGCGAACGGGUGAGUAACGCGUGAGGAACCUGCCUUUCAGAGGGGGACAACAGUUGGAAACGACUGCUAAUACCGCAUGAUGCAUAGGGAUCGCAUGAUUCUUAUGCCAAAGAUUUAUCGCUUCAAGAUGGCCUCGCGUCUGAUUAGCUAGUUGGCGGGGUAACGGCCCACCAAGGCGACGAUCAGUAGCCGGACUGAGAGGUUGAACGGCCACAUUGUGACUGAGAUACGGCCCAGACUCCUACGGGAGGCAGCAGUGGGGAAUAUUGGGCAAUGGGCGCAAGCCUGACCCAGCAACGCCGCGUGAAGGAAGAAGGCUUUCGGGUUGUAAACUUCUUUUAAGAGGGAAGAGCAGAAGACGGUACCUCUAGAAUAAGCCACGGCUAACUACGUG
rnacentral:rRNA from 1 species